UUUUUUUUUUUUUUUUUUUUUUUUGAGAUUUCAUCUUGGGAAUUGAUACACAUCGACAUUAUUAUAAUAAAUAUUAUAAUUUCUUUUUUCUUUAGCAUGUUUGGUAGGACUGCGAAUAGGACACAAAUUUUCUGAUUCCUGGUUGAUCACUUAUGUAACUGCCUUACUAGGAAUGUUCUUUCCCAUUCCAUGCAUUCUGGGAAUAGUUUUGAUUGCAGGGGAGCUCUGGUGGUCGAGUACAACCCCUGCUGAAAGCAGGGCUUGAUGCAGAAGUUAAUCAGAUCGUGCAUGGCCUUGUCCUUUUCAGGUCUGAAAAUCAUAUAGGUUGGAGAUUACGCAGCUUCGCUGGGCAACCUCUGCCCAUGCUUUGCCACUCACUGCAAGGGGUUAUGUCAGCUGGAAUUUCUCAUCUUGCAGCUUGUGCUUGCCAUCUAUUGCCUUUUCACUAUAUGCACUGGUCCUGUCUUAUUUAUAACCUCCUUUUAGAUACUGGAAGACUGAAAUCAAAUUCCCCAUUAGCCUUACUUCCCAGACUAACCUAACGCAGCUCCCUCAGCCAUUCCUUGUACAUUGUGUGCUUCAGUUCCCUCACCAUCUUAGUGACCUUCUAUUGGACUCACUCCAGAUAGCUGAUCUCUCUCUUCUGUGAAGUGACACAAAGUUAUUUUACCGCAUUUGUAGAAGUGGGAUGAUCUGUCCAAUGGGCCUCCCUCUCUGUUGCUUUCCUCACAUAAAAUAGACUGUGCUUGGGUGAAUGGCUUAGCAUAAUUACUUUAUUUAUCUGAAUUCAAAAAUAAGUGUGAAAAUCCUUAAAUGCUGAAAUAAUUAACAGGGGAAAUUCAGUUUUUUCAAAAUUACUUAGACACCCAAGUGUUUUUGUUACCUCUUGAAAAAGAGAACAUCAAUCUUGUUUGCGCUGAACCUCUCGGCGUAAGAACAGUGGGGAUGCCACAUUAACUUUUUGUCCUCGCUUUUGUUAUGCAGUAUGAAUUCUUGAUAGGUUUUGAUUUAGUUGCUGGUACAUUAUUUAUGACAUCUUUUGGCUGCAGCUGCUGUAAUCUACGAACCAAAGCCAAGCCUAUUGUUUCUAGUCAUAGAAUUGUAGUUCGUUAUAGAGCAACUC
rnacentral:lncRNA from 1 species